AUGGUUUAUGUUUCAAAUAAUUUAUUGCCGUAGGAUGGGACUGCGGCCUAUCAGUUUGUUGGAGAGGUAAUGGCCCACCAAGACUAUUACAGGUACGGGCUCUGAGAGGAGUAGCCCGGAGAUGGGUACUGAGACACGGACCCAGGCCCUAUGGGGCGCAGCAGGCGAGAAAACUUUGCAAUGUGCGAAAGCACGACAAGGCUAAUCCGAGUGGUUUCUGCUAAAGGAACCUUUUGUCAGUCCUAGAAACACUGAUGAAUAAGGGGUGGGCAAGUUCUGGUGUCAGCCGCCGCGGUAAAACCAGCACCUCAAGUGGUCAGGAUGAUUAUUGGGCCUAAAGCAUCCGUAGCCUGCUUUGUAAGUUUUCGGUUAAAUCCAUACGCUCAACGUAUGGGCUGCCGGGAAUACUGCAAAGCUAGGGAGUGGGAGAGGUAGACGGUACUCGGUAGGAAGGGGUAAAAUCCUUUGAUCUAUUGAUGACCACCUGUGGCGAAGGCGGUCUACCAGAACACGUCCGACGGUGAGGGAUGAAAGCUGGGGGAGCAAACCG
rnacentral:rRNA from 1 species